UGAGGAAUAUUGGGCAAUGGGCGCAAGCCUGACCCAGCCAUACCGCGUGAAGGAUGAAGGUUCUAUGAAUUGUAAACUUCUUUUCUUGGGGACUAAACUUGACUACGCGUAGUUGAUUGAAGGUACCUGAGGAAUAAGCAUCGGCUAACUCCGUGCCAGCAGCCGCGGUAAUACGGAGGAUGCAGGCGUUAUCCGGAUUUACUAGGUUUAAAGGGUGCGUAGGCGGAUUUGUAAGUCGGUGGUGAAAUCCUACAGCUUAACUGUAGAACUGCCAUUGAUACUGCUAAUCUUGAGUAUAGUUGAGGUAGGCGGAAUGUGUAAUGUAGCGGUGAAAUGCUUAGAUAUUACCCAGAACACCGAUUGCGAAGGCAGCUUACUAAACUAUAACUGACGCUGAGGCACGAAAGCGUGGGGAUCAAACAGG
rnacentral:rRNA from 1 species